rnacentral:rRNA from 1 species
AUCCAAUGGAGAGUUUGAUCCUGGCUCAGGAUAAACGCUGGCGGCGUGCCUUACGCAUGCAAGUCGAACGAAGCCCCUCGCUUCGGUGAGGGAGACUGAGUGGCAAACGGCUGAGUAACGCGUAGGUGAUCUGUCCCGAGGAGGGGAACAACCCGUGGAAACGCGGGCUAAUGCCCCAUACGCCCACCGGAUCGGACCGGUGGGGAAAUGUUCCGGCGCCUUGGGAGGAGCCUGCGUCCGAUUAGCUGGUUGGUGAGGUAACGGCUCACCAAGGCAACGAUCGGUAGCUGGUCUGAGAGGAUG